GUCGAACGCGAAGGGUAGCAAUACCCGAGUAGAGUGGCGAACGGGUGAGUAAUGUGUGGGUAAUCUGCCUUUUAGAGGGGGAUAACCCGGCGAAAGCUGGGCUAAUACCCCAUGACAUUGCUUGGGCUUCGGUCCGAGUAAUCAAAGGAUGGCCUCUAUUUAUAAGCUAUCGCUGAAAGAUGAGCUCACACCCUAUCACGCUUGUUGGUGGGGUAAUGGCCUACCAAGGCGACGACGGGUAGCCGGCCUGAGAGGGUGUCCGGCCACACUGGAACUGAGAUACGGUCCAGACUCCUACGGGAGGCAGCAGUGGGGAAUUUUUCGCAAUGGGGGAAACCCUGACGAAGCAACGCCGCGUGGAGGACGAAGGCCCUAGCGGUUGUAAACUCCUGUCUAGUGGGACGAAAGUAUUACGGGUGAAUAAUCCGUGAUAUUGACUGUACCGCUGGAGGAAGCUCCGGCUAACUCCGUGCCAGCAGCCGCGGUAAUACGGAGGGAGCAAGCGUUACUCGGAAUUAUUGGGCGUAAAGGGCGCGUAGGCGAUUUGAAAAGUCAACUGUGAAAGCCCAGGGCCUAACCCUGGAAGUGCAGUUGAUACUGUUGAAUUUGAGUUCCGGAGAGGAAGGCAGAAUUCCCGGUGUAGCGGUGAAAUGCGUAGAUAUCGGGAGGAAUACCAGCGGCGAAGGCGGCCUUCUGGACGGAUACUGACGCUGAGGCGCGA
rnacentral:rRNA from 1 species